GCUUCCGGACAUCUGCUGCUCCCCUCCCCGCACCGAGCUCUGCUUGUGGGGAGCCAGUUGCAAAAACCAGCCCUUGGGCUAACUCCGAAGAGCCGGGACAUGACCCAGAGCAGACUUGUCCCCAAAGCGCCUGAGGUGUGUUCUGUCAGUUUUAUGACAGCAGCUUUGUGCUUUGAACUGCACUGAGACCAUGGGAGUUCCAUGCAUAAAAUGGAUGGAGCAUUAGGCUCCUUACCAAGGAGUACACAGAGAAGCAAAAAAGAAAGGGAUGCCUACCCGCUGAAAUCUAAAGAGAGAGCCUGGACCUAAUGAACUUGGAAUAGAAAACUGAACUACACCUCUACCCCUAUACAACACGACCCAAUAUAACAUGCUGCAAAUGUUUCAACGCUCCCCGUAUCAUCUCCGUCCCAGAAGCUAGCGAAGAUUAGAAGGCAAAAAGAAAUGCACUCGCAAUGAAAUGUUCUCUGAGCUCAUGCAGUCCUUCCGCACUGAAAGAGCCAAGCAGAAUGCCUGGAGACAGACACUGUCAGAGUGCAGGAAAGCACAAAAUGAAUGUGAGGACAGGUGGCGGAAGCAAGGGGAGAGAUGGCAGGAUCAAGAUGAUCGGUGGUGUCAGCGUGAUGAGAGAAAGCAGGAAGCAAUGCUUAGGCUACUGGAGGAUCAAACUGAUCUUCUCCAGCAUAUUGUUGAGGUGCAGAAAAGGCAACAGGAACACAGACCGCCACCCCUGGGUAACCAACUGACCUCUUCCCCAAGUUCCAUAGCCUCCUCACCCAGAUGCCCAAGAAUGCAGUGAGGGGGCCUCCAGCCACCCAACCACUCCACCCCAGAAGACUGCCCAAGAAACAGAAAGCUGGCAUUCAAUAAGUUUUGAAGUGCAGUGUGGCCUUGUCCUUCCCUCCUCUGCCACCCCACCCGGAGCUUCCCUACUCCCCCACCCCUCCCAGGCUACCUUGGCAGUUAUCCCCCCAUUUGU